rnacentral:rRNA from 1 species
UACAGGGGGGGCAAGCGUUGUUCGGAAUUACUGGGCGUAAAGGGCUCGUAGGCGGCCAACUAAGUCCGACGUGAAAUCCCCAGCUUAACCUGGGAACUGCGUCGGAUACUGGUUGGCUUGAAUUCGGGAGAGGGAUGCAGAAUUCCAGGUGUAGCGGUGAAAUGCGUAGAUAUCUGGAGGAAUACCGGUGGCGAAGGCGGCAUCCUGGACCGAGAUUGACGCUGAUGAGCGAAAGCUAGGGGAGCAAACGGG